UACGUAGGGUGCGAGCGUUAAUCGGAAUUACUGGGCGUAAAGCGUGCGCAGGCGGUGAUGUAAGACAGUUGUGAAUCCCCGGGCUCAACCUGGGAACUGCAUCUGUGACUGCAUCGCUGGAGUACGGUAGAGGGGGAUGGAAUUCCGCGGUGUAGCAGUGAAAUGCGUAGAUAUGCGGAGGAACACCAAUGGCGAAGGCAAUCCCCUGGGCCUGUAGUGACCACGCGUCAUGCACGAAAGCGUGGGGAGCAAACAGG
rnacentral:rRNA from 1 species